CCAUUUGAUAUUAUCCAUUAGCUUCCUCGGUUCAUUGGUUGAGUCAGUUCGACGGUUCCAUUGGCUUUCUCCUCCACAAGGACCACAACCACGAGUGACGAGUCGCCGUUGAGGCUAUGAGUCUGUGACCCACUGACCGUGGUCCGUGAGGCAUGACUUGUGACGUAAAUCAGGGUCGUUAGUUGUGAGUUUUUUUAGUUGUGACAGUGGAAUUCUCGAAGGUGUAACUCCACAAUUUUCAUCGAAAUUCUACUUCUCAAUCACACCAAGGAAGUGGUAACCAAGAAAGUACUACCCCCAAGACAUAUGCUAGAUGUCAAUUGUUGCAUUGGUACAUUUUUGAGGAGGAAGAAGUCAUAAUAGAAAGGAAGAUUGCCACAACAAACCCAAGUGUAAAGGUGCAUCACUUGCCACUUGGUCGAGACUGUUGGAAGGUUUGGGUUGAGAAAGUCUAUAUGGGUAAUUUGACUCUAUACAGACUCACGUAUGAAUUCCAUGGGAAUCACUUGGCCAAAGAGCAGCAUUAGACUUAUUGAUUAAGGUAUAUUUUUUGGAUUUAUAACAUAUAAGCGUCUUAUUUUCGUUUUCUUUCCAUUUCAAAUAGUAUUUAGUGUUGGUUGGUUGGUUGGUACGUAUGAAGUGGUUUCAUGUAAUUGGUUGGUUAGCUAGUGAGAUUUUGGCAGUGAGAAUUAAUAGGUUACUUGCUUAAUUCUUAGGUUUCAUUCAAUAAGUUUUUUGUUAUUGAAUGGUCGAAACAUGAUUUUAUGUUGAGGUUAGAAUUCUUGUAGUGGGUAAUUUGUUAAUGUGUUGGUAACAUGAUUUUGUGCUAAGCCUGAAAUGCCUUUGUGAUUGUCUUGAUUUAUCACAAUUAAGUAUAUCUUAAUAAAAAGGAGAAGUUUUUCUAUUUAAAA